rnacentral:lncRNA from 1 species
UUCUGGAUAAUGAGAAGAAAAAUAUUAGAAGAAAAUUUGUUUUUACAUGAUAGAGUUACAAUUUUAUCUCUAAAUUUUCAAAAAUAACUUAUACAGUAUAAGGAUGUAUUUGUAAUUUUGAACAUUUUCCUUCCGCUUUCUUUCAGUCUCUCGAGAAAAUGACAGUGAAAAUUUAAAUAUUAUUUUCCUUUCAAAAUUCUCUUUUUAUUGAUUUUCCUCUUAACCAAACAUGAAACGACUUGACUUUCUUAUUUUCCCUUGAUCCAAACGUAAGCUAAGAGAAGGCAGCCUCAGGAUGUCUCAUGAAGAGCACGAGUUCUUGCGUUUUCCUCCUCCUUCCGUGGACUCUUUUCAUUCCUUUCCUCUCUGUUUUAUGGCGUUGGAUAUUCCAUGAGUAAUAAAACCUGCAAUUCGCAAAUUUUUUUUCGGUGGAGAAUUGCAAGAAUCACAGAAUCACGGAAACGAAGAGAAAAGUGGUAUUACACGGUAAUUAAUUACAUGCGGAAUUCAGAACCAGAACGCCCUUUUGAAUAAAAUCUAACUUUGGAUCUUAAAUUUAAGGGAAAAGAUCAGAAGAUACAACAAAAUAUCAGUAAGAAGAUUUGAAAGUUGGGCUAAAAUUUGAAACUCUUGCAGAAGACUUGACGCAUCUGAGGCAGCUGGGUUGAUGAGCAGCUCCAGAGGAAGAAGAAAAACAGGAUGUAAGAGAUUGGAGCAACAAAUCAAAAAUCAUGCGCUUAACAAGCCUCCUCUUCUUUGGAAACACACUUCCAUUCUUCGAUUUGAACCAUGUCUCUGUCUUCAUCUUCUCCAUCUCCAUCUCCAUCUCCAUCUCCAUCUCCAAGCUUCUUCUCUGUGCCACUCCCCUGUUUUAGCUUAGAAAAUGAACUCAGCUUUGUUGCCAAUAUAUAACUGUUGAAUUUUUGAAUUUCUGUUAAAUGUCUGAAAAACCCAGCCAAUCACAGAGUAGCUUGGUACAAAAGUUUCCUUCAAUGCAUGACGCGUGGACGUAAAAUGGCAGCCUAUUCGGGUCAUCCAUAUACAACUAUUGUAUUAACC